rnacentral:lncRNA from 1 species
CUCAUUUGUCUUUUCUAUUUUUCUGUCACCAUAACUGUGAUGUUUGAGGACAGCUGGUGUCCUCAGAGCUAAGCCAUCCUGUGUUUGUUUGUUCCAUAUAAGUCUGGAGACUGAGCCAGCGAGGGUGGCAGUGCAGCCAAACUUGGAGUGCAGAGCCUUGUUCCUAAUGCCCUGACAACAGGGCUUUCAAGCAAUGCACUGGCACCAAACCUGCAGCAGAGAGUGGUACCCUGGGCUUCAUCUUACAGAAUGCACAGGAAGGAGGAAAAUGUACAUUUUGCCUCAGCAGCUGCUCAUCACCGCCUUUAUAAUUCAGUUCUGCACUACAUUGGAAAUGUUGCAUCCCCAGGCUUGGAAAUGUCUCUGACCAAAGAGAGGUGCUCAGAGGAGAGAAGGAAGCUUAAUGAGAUACAGUGCCUAGUCUGGUAAGUCUCCAUGUGACUCCUUGUGUUG